rnacentral:rRNA from 1 species
AUUGAACGCUGGCGGCAUGCCUUACACAUGCAAGUCGAACGGUAGCGGGCCUUCGGGUGCCGACGAGUGGCGAACGGGUGAGUAAUGUAUCGGAACGUACCUUUCAGUGGGGGAUAACGUAGCGAAAGUUGCGCUAAUACCGCAUAUUCUGUGAGCAGGAAAGCGGGGGAUCGCAAGACCUUGCGCUGAUUGAGCGGCCGAUAUCAGAUUAGCUAGUUGGUGAGGUAAAGGCUCACCAAGGCGACGAUCUGUAGCGGGUCUGAGAGGAUGAUCCGCCACACUGGAAUUGAGACACGGUCCAGACUCCUACGGGAGGCAGCAGUGGGGAAUUUUGGACAAUGGGGGCAACCCUGAUCCAGCCAUGCCGCGUGAGUGAAGAAGGCCUUCAGGUUGUAAAGCUCUUUCGGCCGGGAAGAAAUCGUAUCAGCUAAUACCUGGUGCGGAUGACGGUACCGGCAUAAGAAGCACCGGCUAACUACGUGCCAGCCGCCGCGGUAAAAC